AGUCACUGACAUUAGAUACCCCUGUAGUCCAGGGUGUAAACGCUGCAGACUUGGUGUUGGAAAUCCUUCGAGGGUAUUCAGUGCCGGAGAGAAGUUGUUAAGUCUGCUACUUGGGAGUACGUCCGCAAGGAUGAAACUUAAAGGAAUUGGCGGGGGAGCACCGCAACGGGAGGAGCGUGCGGUUUAAUUGGAUUCAACGCCGAAAACUCACCAGCAGCGACUGUUACAUGAAAGUCAGGUUGAUGACCUUACUAGAUUUUCAG
rnacentral:rRNA from 1 species